GACGAACGCUGGCGGCGUGCCUAAUACAUGCAAGUAGAACGCUGAAGAGAGGAGCUUGCUCUUCUUGGAUGAGUUGCGAACGGGUGAGUAACGCGUAGGUAACCUGCCUUGUAGCGGGGGAUAACUAUUGGAAACGAUAGCUAAUACCGCAUAACAAUGGAUGACACAUGUCAUUUAUUUGAAAGGGGCAAUUGCUCCACUACAAGAUGGACCUGCGUUGUAUUAGCUAGUAGGUGAGGUAAUGGCUCACCUAGGCGACGAUACAUAGCCGACCUGAGAGGGUGAUCGGCCACACUGGGACUGAGACACGGCCCAGACUCCUACGGGAGGCAGCAGUAGGGAAUCUUCGGCAAUGGGGGCAACCCUGACCGAGCAACGCCGCGUGAGUGAAGAAGGUUUUCGGAUCGUAAAGCUCUGUUGUAAGUCAAGAGCGGGUGUGAGAGUGGAAAGUUCACACUGUGACGGUAGCUGACCAGAAAGGGACGGCUAACUACGUG
rnacentral:rRNA from 1 species